ACAGCAAUUUUGCGUUAUCUGUUAAUCGAGAUUGAAACACAUGAAA
rfam:Citrobacter koseri ATCC BAA-895, complete genome.